rnacentral:rRNA from 1 species
CUUGAACGCUGGCGGCAGGCCUAACACAUGCAAGUCGAGCGGAGCGGCGGCCGGGUGAGUAAUGCCUAGGAAUCUGCCUGGUAGUGGGGGAUAACGUCCGGAAACGGGCGCUAAUACCGCAUACUAUCCGUUGAGCCUAGGUCGGAUUAGCUAGUUGGUGGGGUAAAGGCCUACCAAGGCGCCGAUCCGUAACUGGUCUGAGAGGAUGAUCAGUCACACGGGAACUGAGACACGGUCCAGACUCCUACGGGAGGAAGCGGUGGGGAAUAUUGCAAAAUGGGGGCAAGCCUGAUGCAGCCAUGCCGCGUGUAUGAAGAAGGCCUUCGGGUGGUAAAGUACUUUCAGCGGGGAGGCGUUACCCGCAGAAGAAGCACCGGCUAACUCCGUGCCAGCAGCCGCGGUAAUUC